rnacentral:rRNA from 1 species
AUUGCCCCAGUAACGGCGAGUGAAGCGGCAAGAGCUCAAAUUUGAAAGCUGGCCCCCUCGGGGUCCGCAUUGUAAUUUGCAGAGGAUGCUUCGGGAGCGGUCCCCGUCUAAGUGCCCUGGAACGGGCCGUCAUAGAGGGUGAGAAUCCCGUAUGGGACGGGGUGUCCGCGCCCGUGUGAAGCUCCUUCGACGAGUCGAGUUGUUUGGGAAUGCAGCUCUAAAUGGGUGGUAAAUUUCAUCUAAAGCUAAAUAUUGGCCGGAGACCGAUAGCGCACAAGUAGAGUGAUCGAAAGAUGAAAAGCACUUUGAAAAGAGAGUUAAAAAGCACGUGAAAUUGUUGAAAGGGAAGCGCUUGCGACCAGACUCGCCCGCGGGGUUCAGCCGGCACUCGUGCCGGUGUACUUCCCCGCGGGCGGGCCAGCGUCGGUUUGGGCGGCCGGUCAAAGGCCCUCGGAAUGUAACGCCUCUCGGGGCGUCUUAUAGCCGAGGGUGCCAUGCGGCCUGCCCGGACCGAGGAACGCGCUUCGGCUCGGACGCUGGCAUAAUGGUCGUAAGCGACCCGUCUUGAAACACGGACCAAGGAGUCUAACAUCUACGCGAGUGUUCGGGUGUCAAACCCGUGCGCGCAGUGAAAGCGAACGGAGGUGGGAACCCUCACGGGUGCACCAUCGACCGAUCCUGAUGUCUUCGGAUGGAUUUGAGUAAGAGCGUAGCUGUUGGGACCCGAAAGAUGGUGAACUAUGCCUGAAUAGGGCGAAGCCAGAGGAAACUCUGGUGGAGGCUCGCAGCGGUUCUGACGUGCAAAUCGAUCGUCAAAUUUGGGUAUAGGGGCGAAAGACUAAU